GGGGCUGUGCCUGAAUAAAGGAAUACUUUGAUAGAGUAAAUCAUGGGGGUUAAACUCCCCCCAACCCCU
rnacentral:tRNA from 1 species